GUAGGUGGCAAGCGUUGUCCGGAAUUAUUGGGCGUAAAGCGCGCGCAGGUGGUUCUUUAAGUCUGAUGUGAAAGCCCCCCGGCUCAACCGGGGAGGGUCAUUGGAAACUGGGGAACUUGAGUGCAGGAGAGGAAAGUGGAAUUCCACGUGUAGCGGUGAAAUGCGUAGAUAUGUGGAGGAACACCAGUGGCGAAGGCGACUUUCUGGCCUGUAACUGACACUGAGGCGCGAAAGCGUGGGGAGCAAACAGGGAUUAGAUACCCUGGUAGUCCACGCCGUAAACGAUGAGUGCUAAGUGUUGGGGGGGUUUCCCGCCCCUCAGUGCUGCAGCUAACGCAUUAAGCACUCCGCCUGGGGAGUACGUCGCAAGACUG
rnacentral:rRNA from 1 species